GCAGUUAUCCACAGACAAAGGUGCCUUUAAGAUUCAGGUAGAAGGUUGCAAAACCCCAGUAGAGCCCAACACUAAAGAUGGCCACAGGUCACACCCAGGUGGCAGGCUCACCAACCAUGUUCCCAGCUACAGACCCAGAAAUGGUCCCAUCCUUGCUGUGAACACGGCUACAGCCCUGUUUGGCCUUUAUCCUGCCACCAGCAGCAAAAGACCCAGGAAGAGUCACACCCGUCCAUGCCUCAGAGGCUGGGAAAUCCAAGAUCAAGGUGCUGGCGGAUCUGGCAUCUGGUAAGGGCUCACUCUCUGCUUCACUGAUGUCACCUUCUUGCUGCAGCCUUAUGUGGUAGUGAGGAGAGAGGCCAUUUUUCUUACCGUCUCCUGUCUCUGAAGAGAAGAAGGAAGUAAAAGCUGAAAAACAACAGGAAUGAAGUCAGUGGCAACACCAGCCGGUGCCACCGAUGACCAGGCCUGAGGUUAAAAGAUUAACCCCCUACUCUAACCACAUGUGCUCUCAAUCUAUCACGACCCUUUCACGUGGAACCCCUUAGAGUUGUAAGCCCUUAAAAGGGCCAGGAACUCUUUCUUCUGGGAACUCGGAUCUCGACACGUGAGUCUGCCGAAGCUCCCAGCUGAUUAAAUCCACUUCCUUCUUUAA